CAUGAUUAUCUAGGUUUUGCGAGUCUUGUGGAGCUUCAGAAGUUGGAACGGAUCCCUGACCUGCUCACUGCUGACCACUGUACCAGGUGUCUUUAAUCUGGAAAACUUAGACAAAUCUUUCAUGAGCUUACAUGACCUUGAAAUAUUUGUGUCUUGGAGGAGUGGAUGGGAGCCAAACCAAAGGUACAAGAGCAUGAAGAGC